AUGUGAUCGUCUCUCGCAUAUCAAUAAGCGGAGGAAAAGAAACUAACAAGGAUUCCCCUAGUAACGGCGAGUGAAGCGGGAAGAGCUCAAAUUUGAAACCUUAAAGGGUUUCCCUUUACGAAUUGUAGUUUAAAGAAGUGUUUUCUGUUGAGGUUUUGGUAAAAGUUCUUUGGAAUAGGACAUCAUAGAGGGUGAGAAUCCCGUAUUUGACCUUUACUUUCAACUUUGUGAUACACUUUCAAAGAGUCGGAUUGUUUGGGAAUGCAGUCCAAAAUGGGUGGUAAAUUUCAUCUAAAGCUAAAUAUUGGCGAGAGACCGAUAGCGAACAAGUACCGUGAGGGAAAGAUGAAAAGAACUUUGAAAAGAGAGUUAAACAGUACGUGAAAUUGUCAAAAGGGAAGCGUUUGACACCAGUGUUGUUUUUCUGAAAAUCAAUUAAAGAACUGUUUAUGCUAAGUUGUUUAGACUUUAUCAGCUAUCUGUUUAGUUUUGAGCUUUUCUUUAAUGCACUUUUCAGUUAACAAGUCAACAUCAAUUUCUUUUGCUGUAAAAAAGCUUGAGGAAGGUGGCUUGAGAUUCGUCUUAAGUGCUUAUAGCCUCUUGCCUAUGCAGUCGGAGAGAUUGAGGUCUGCAGCGUAGAUCCUUCGGGGCUAAAUGCAUUUGUGCUAAGUUAUAGCAUUUUAUAGACAACUUGUUGACUAUGAUUUGUCUUGUAGCUUACUCGCUUAUGUUAUUUUACCUACGCUUAGGAUGUUGAUCUGUAGUGCGUGCGC
rnacentral:rRNA from 1 species